AGGAUGAACGCUGGCGGCGUGCUUAACACAUGCAAGUCGAACGGUGAACUUGGGAGCUUGCUCCUGGGGGAUCAGUGGCGAACGGGUGAGUAACACGUGAGUAACCUGCCCUUGACUCUGGGAUAAGCGUUGGAAACGACGUCUAACACCGGAUACGAGCUUCAGCCGCAUGGCUAGGAGCUGGAAAGAAUUUUCGGCAAAGGAUGGACUCGCGGCCUAUCAGCUAGUGGUGAGUAACGGCCACCAAGGCGACGACGGGUAGCCGGCCUGAGAGGGUGACCGGCCACACUGGGACUGAGACACGGCCCAGACUCCUACGGGAGGCAGCAGUGGGAAUAUUGCACAAUGGGCGAAAAGCCUGACUGCAGCAAACGCCGCGUGGAGGGACGAACGGGCCUUCGGUGUUAAACGACUUUUAGAGGUAAGAAGACGAAGUAGACGUACGUAGCUAAGAAAAGACAACGCGUAACACGU
rnacentral:rRNA from 1 species